rnacentral:sRNA from 1 species
UACUGGUUUGCUUCAAAACACAUUGCUGC